rnacentral:rRNA from 1 species
CCUACGGGGGGCUGCAGUGGGGAAUAUUGGACAAUGGGGGGAACCCUGAUCCAGCCAUGCCGCGUGUGUGAAGAAGGCCCUCGGGUUGUAAAGCACUUUCAGUGAGGAAGAACGCCUGGUGGUUAAUACCCAUCAGGAAAGACAUCACUCACAGAAGAAGCACCGGCUAACUCCGUGCCAGCAGCCGCGGUAAUACGGAGGGUGCGAGCGUUAAUCGGAAUUACUGGGCGUAAAGCGCGCGUAGGUGGCUUGAUAAGCCGGUUGUGAAAGCCCCGGGCUCAACCUGGGAACGGCAUCCGGAACUGUCAAGCUAGAGUGCAGGAGAGGAAGGUAGAAUUCCCGGUGUAGCGGUGAAAUGCGUAGAGAUCGGGAGGAAUACCAGUGGCGAAGGCGGCCUUCUAGACUGACACUGACACUGAGGUGCGAAAGCGUGGGUAGCAAACAGGAUUAGAUACCCGAGUAGUC